rnacentral:rRNA from 1 species
ACUCCUACGGAGGCAGCAGUGGGGAAUAUUGCACAAUGGGCGCAAGCCUGAUGCAGCCAUGCCGCGUGUAUGAAGAAGGCCUUCGGGUUGUAAAGUACUUUCAGCAGUGAGGAAGGCGGGUACGUUAAUAGCGUGCUUGUUUGACGUUAGCUGCAGAAGAAGCACCGGCUAACUCCGUGCCAGCAGCCGCGGUAAUACGGAGGGUGCGAGCGUUAAUCGGAAUUACUGGGCGUAAAGCGCAUGCAGGUGGUUUGUUAAGUCAGAUGUGAAAGCCCGGGGCUCAACCUCGGAAUUGCAUUUGAAACUGGCAGACUAGAGUACUGUAGAGGGGGGUAGAAUUUCAGGUGUAGCGGUGAAAUGCGUAGAGAUCUGAAGGAAUACCGGUGGCGAAGGCGGCCCCCUGGACAGAUACUGACACUCAGAUGCGAAAGCGUGGGGAGCAAACAGGAUUAGAUA